GACGUCAAAUCAUCCAUGCCCCUUAUGACCUGGGCUACACACGUGCUACAAUGGGCGGUACAAAGGGUCGCGAACCCGCGAGGGGGAGCCAAUCCCAAAAAAGCCGCUCUCAGUUCGGAUUGCAGGCUGCAACUCGCCUGCAUGAAGCCGGAAUCGCUAGUAAUCGCGGAUCAGCAUGCCGCGGUGAAUACGUUCCCGGGCCUU
rnacentral:rRNA from 1 species